UGCCUACGGGGGGCAGCAGUAGGGAAUCUUCCACAAUGGACGAAAGUCUGAUGGAGCAACGCCGCGUGAGUGAAGAAGGGUUUCGGCUCGUAAAGCUCUGUUGGUAGUGAAGAAAGAUAGAGGGAGUAACUGGCCUUUAUUUGACGGUAAUUACUUAGAAAAUCACGGCUAACUACGUGCCAGCAGCCGCGGUAAUACGUUGGUGGCAAGCGUUGUCCGGAAUUAUUGGGCGUAAAGCGAG
rnacentral:rRNA from 1 species